AUUGAACGCUGGCGGCAGGCCUAACACAUGCAAGUCGAGCGAGCGGCGGACGGGUGAGUAAUGUCUGGGAAACUGCCUGAUGGAGGGGGAUAACUACUGGAAACGGUAGCUAAUACCGCACACCAUCAGAUGUGCCCAGAUGGGAUUAGCUAGUAGGUGGGGUAACGGCUCACCUAGGCGACGAUCCCUAGCUGGUCUGAGAGGAGGACCAGCCACACGGAAACUGAGACACGGUCCAGACUCCGACGGGAGGCAGCAGUGGGGAGUAGUGCACAAUGGGCGAAAGCCUGAUGCAGCCAUGCCGCGUGGGUUAAGAAGGCCUUGGGGUUGUAAAGCACUUUCAGCGGGGAGGCGUUACCCGCAGAAGAAGCACCGGCUAACUCCGUGCCAGCAGCCGCGGUAAUAC
rnacentral:rRNA from 1 species